rnacentral:rRNA from 1 species
UACGUAGGUGGCAAGCGUUGUCCGGAUUUACUGGGCGUAAAGAGCGCGCAGGCGGUCGUUCAAGUCGCGUGUGAAAGCCCCCGGCUCAACUGGGGAGGGUCACGCGAUACUGAUCGACUCGAAGGCAGGAGAGGGUAGUGGAAUUCCCGGUGUAGUGGUGAAAUGCGUAGAUAUCGGGAGGAACACCGGUGGCGAAGGCGGCAUCCUGGACCGGCAUUGACGCUGAGGAGCGAAAGCCAGGGGAGCAAACGGG